CGGGAUAGCUCAGCUGGUAGAGCAGAGGACUGAAAUUCC
rnacentral:tRNA from 1 species